GACGAACGCUGGCGGCGUGCUUAACACAUGCAAGUCGAACGGAAAGGCCCUGCUUUUGUGGUGUGCUCGAGUGGCGAACGGGUGAGUAACACGUGAGUAACCUGCCCUUGACUUUGGGGUAACUUCAGGAAACUGGGGCUAAUACCGGAUAGGAGCUCCUGCUGCACGGUGGGGGGUGGAAAGUUUCGGCGGUUGGGGAUGGACUCGCGGCUUAUCAGCUUGUUGGUGGGGUAGUGGCUUACCAAGGCUUUGACGGGUAGCCGGCCUGAGAGGGUGACCGGCCACCUUGGUACUGCGAGACGGACCAGACUCCUAUGUGAGGCAACAGUGGGGAGUAUUGCACAAUGGGCGGAAGCCUGAUACAGAGGCGCCGCGUGCGGGAUGACGGCCUUCGGGGUGUAAACCGCUUUCGCCUGUGACGAAGCGUUAGUGACGGUAAUGGGUAAAGAAGCACCGGCUAACUACGUG
rnacentral:rRNA from 1 species